rnacentral:rRNA from 1 species
AUUGAACGCUGGCGGCAGGCCUAACACAUGCAAGUCGAGCGGUUGACGGGAGCUUGCUCCCUGAUUCAGCGGCGGACGGGUGAGUAAUGCCUAGGAAUCUGCCUAUUAGUGGGGGACAACGUUUCGAAAGGAACGCUAAUACCGCAUACGUCCUACGGGAGAAAGCAGGGGACCUUCGGGCCUUGCGCUAAUAGAUGAGCCGAGGUCGGAUUAGCUAGUUGGUGAGGUAAUGGCUCACCAAGGCGACGAUCCGUAACUGGUCUGAGAGGAUGAUCAGUCACACUGGAACUGGGACACGGUCCAGACUCCUACGGGAGGCAGCAGUGGGGAAUAUUGGACAAUGGGCGAAAGCCUGAUCCAGCCAUGCCGCGUGUGUGAAGAAGGUCUUCGGAUUGUAAAGCACUUUAAGUUGGGAGGAAGGGUUGUAGAUUAAUACUCUGCAAUUUUGACGUUACCGACAGAAUAAGCACCGGCUAACUCUGUGCCAGCCGCCGCCGUAACAC